rnacentral:lncRNA from 1 species
GCUUGCUAAAGUACAGCCAGGAUUUCAUGGCAGAGACCAAAUGCGGAGGUUAGCACACAAACAUGAGAGGAUGAUAUCCAAACAGAGAGCUUGAAAGCAAGAGGAGAGCUGAGGCCACGUCCUGAGUGGCUGUGUGAUCACUGUCACCUUCAGGAGUCCUGGCUAAGGAGAACGGAGAGUAUGACUACUGCAGAUGGAAUGUCCUGGAAGUAGACUCUGAGGUGGUAGAGUGUUCUCUGUAUCAUGUUAAGGGAUCACCCUCACAUAAGUGAGAAGAAGAUGAAGAGAAAAAGAAUCAAAGCCACCUUGUUCAACCCCACUGAUCAGAGUCGACCUUGGCAGCUCUGGUGGCUCUUAGGAUUGUUGUAGGUUGGGUUGAGAUGCUAGAUUUUUCCGCACACAAAAGAGCCAUUGCACACAAAUGUGACCGUCUCCUUAAAUGUCACAGAAUGGCCCAGCAGUUGCUUCUGCAGCUCCACCUCUCUCUGCUGGCAAAACAAAACAUUGAGUUCCUUGAGAAAAGCUGUAACCUCAAAGGCUCUUUCCCUACAGCAUCCCAUGCCAUCCCUGGGCUAGCAGUUCUUCCCACUGUGGAUAGAACAAGUCCACAUUGAUAGAGAAUCUUCAUGGUCCUAUGACUAAAGGCACAGUUGCCCUACAAGAACCGUGAGGCUCAGCCUAGUAUAUACCUCACUGUGUCUUGCAUAUGGCUGACUUGGAGUCAUGGAAUCUAUUUCCAAUCUUUGCAAGAAACCCGAAGAUCCCAGACCAGGCCCAAGCAAAACCAAAGAGACCUAUAUUGGGAUAAAAGAAAAAAGAAAUGGCUUUCUACAUGCAUGGUCAGCGUACAGCUGGCAGCAACUCACCUGGGGUGGACUGUGUCAUCUCAGCGAGAAUCUUUGGAAACUUGUCUCUUCAAUCCAAAUGCUACAAGCUCACAACGUGAAUAUCCUGUUGAGAGAAGCAAGUCUGGCUCCGUUGACAGAAAUGACCCUCUGUGCAGAUGUAAAUUCAGUUUUCAGAUGACCUGCCUGGCUGUGGCUGAGCUCCGUCUCUCAAGAGCCCUUUGGUGCAUGGGAUGUGGGAUGAUGAAUUGCUGGAAGACAUUUUUGUGUCCCCACACCACUCAGGAGCCCCAUAUCACAGCAAAGUCUCCCUUUGAGAUCCUUGGAUUUUUGCAUGGAACAACCGAGGUAGUAGGAAAUAAGGACACAAUCGCAGAUGAAGUCCAGUGUGGUCCAACAGGGACUAGAAACUUCAAAAAUUCUGAUUCUGCUUUGGGGUUGUCUCCACAGCAUCUGGCCCUGAGAUUCAUUAAGAAUGAGUGUAACCAGGCUGGGGAGGUGGCACCAGACACCAAGCCUGACAACUUGAGUCUCAUCCCUGGAAACUACAAGACAGGAAGAGGAAACCAACUCCUGCAGGAAGUCCUCUGACCUCCAAAUGCACACUGUGACAUGUGUAUGCCUGCCUCGCAUACAUACAUACAUGCAUACAUGCAUACAUGCAUACAUACAUACAUGCAUACAUACAUACAUGCAUGCAUGCAUGCAUACAUACAUACAUACAUACAUACAUACAUGAUGUAACAGAAUAUGACAAACUUGUCCAUAUUGCUGUAUUUCAGUGUAUAUAAAUUGCCUCACAAGAGGGAAAAGUCCUUUUGUAGUAGCAGACAUGGACUGUAAGAUCUAUUUUCAUUCUGGAUUUAAAGGAUAGUUGGUGAAGAACAGCCAAUGGCUAGACCACUACCUACUGUUUGAACUUAGGGCAAGUCCAUGUCCUUUGCCGCUAGGAUGUCAGAGGCCCCAGAACCUUGAGGCAUGUCUUCCAGAUGGUUUCUGUAGGCACUCUGAUUAUAAGCUAGGUCUUCGGAUUGUCCUCUAAUUAAGAAAAAGCAUUUAAAAAAUAAAAACCAGAGCUGGCAUAGGUUCUGUAAACAUUUGCCCAUCUCUAUCAUAAGUCUGUCAACGCCUACCUAUUACAUUUUAUCCAGCCCUGUUCAAAUGAAAUCCCAUUCCACUAGAUAUUGGUCACACCGACAUGUGCAGUGAUAUAACAAGCCCAUCCAGUGCACUACGCUCAACCUUCCCGGUUGCCCACACACCAUUUUAUUAUUGCCUUUCAAUACCCCAUGUGAAAUGACCUUCCUCAUCCCCAGCGUGGUGUGAAGUGCAAGAAGAGAACUUGUAUUGUUGUCUUUCAAGGAGAAAUCCUAUAUUUGGAAAAGCUGAAGAAAAAUCCUGCUUAGGUUUUUCUCACUGAUAAGUGCAAGGAAACUGCUAAUUGAGGUCAAAGUCCACCAUGACCAGAUAGCCCCUGGGCUUGGCACAAUAUGGGAGACUCCCUUCACUAACAGGGCUUCUCCUUCUCUGACCUUAUUUGAGGAAUUCUAACCCCCCCCCACAUGUGCCUCUACCAGAGGAAUGUCACGAAGCCUCAAUGGGGUUACAAGUUCAAUUUUCUUUCUCCUGAUAAGGACGUGUUCAGCCAGCACCUGGGAUUCCUAAAAUGCUUCCCCAUGCUAAUGAGGCAUUCCAGGUGCCCUAAGCUCCCAGUCAAUGACCUUUUCCCAUUCUAGAUGUUCUGACCCUCACUCCCCAAAAACUUUAUAAGCCUUGAAUCACCCUAAUCAAAGUUGAUCUGCCUUCUGAUAGCUGGUCCCGGUGUGGUUCUUCACUGUACAUUCUCAAAGGCCUUCCAACCCCCUCUUCCUCAUCUCUGCUCCCACUACCCUUGUGGGCUGAAUUAGCAGGUGACCCUCAAGAGUGGGGAGACCCACACACAAGACCUGUGAGUACUCAAUGGCCUGUUUCUAUGAAAGCCUUGGUGGGGGUUCAGAUUUCUAAACAUAGAGCCAGACAUCAUUCAUACUACAACUGCCUCGCAUU